GCACUGCUGAAGAGUCCCACAAUAGGAGGAAGCGGCCGUUCAGUGC
rfam:Schistosoma rodhaini strain Burundi genome assembly, scaffold: SROB_scaffold0002630